AUCCAGAGAACUUAGCAGAGAUGCUUUGGUGCCUUCGGGAACUCUGAGACAGGUGCUGCAUGGCUGUCGUCAGCUCGUGUUGUGAAAUGUUGGGUUAAGUCCCGCAACGAGCGCAACCCUUAUCCUUUGUUGCCAGCGGUUCGGCCGGGAACUCAAAGGAGACUGCCGGUGAUAAACCGGAGGAAGGUGGGGAUGACGUCAAGUCAUCAUGGCCCUUACGGCCAGGGCUACACACGUGCUACAAUGGCGCAUACAAGAGAAGCGACCUCGCGAGAGCAAGCGGACCUCAUAAAGUGCGUCGUAGUCCGGAUUGGAGUCUGCAACUCGACUCCAUGAAGUCGGAAUCGCUAGUAAUCGUAGAUCAGAAUGCUACGGUGAAUACGUUCCCGGGCCUUGUACACACCGCCCGUCACACCAUGGGAGUGGGUUGCAAAAGAAGUAGGUAGCUUAACCUUCGGGAGGGCGCUUACCACUUUGUGAUUCAUGACUGGGGUGAAGUCGUAACAAGGUAGGCGUAGCGAG
rnacentral:rRNA from 1 species